rnacentral:rRNA from 1 species
GACGAACGCUGGCGGCGUGCUUAACACAUGCAAGUCGAACGGAAAGGCCCUGCUUUUGUGGGGUGCUCGAGUGGCGAACGGGUGAGUAACACGUGAGUAACCUGCCCUUGACUUUGGGAUAACUUCAGGAAACUGGGGCUAAUACCGGAUAGGAGCUCCUGCUGCAUGGUGGGGGUUGGAAAGUUUCGGCGGUUGGGGAUGGACUCGCGGCUUAUCAGCUUGUUGGUGGGGUAGUGGCUUACCAAGGCUUUGACGGGUAGCCGGCCUGAGGGGGUGACCGGCCACAUUGGGCAGGAAAUAGGGCCCAGACCCCCGGGGGCGGAAGAAGGGGAGAUUAGACCCAACGGGGCGGAGCGCUAGUGCACCAACCCCGGGGGCGGGACGACGGCCUCGGGGUAGAAACCCGAUUUCCCGGGUGACGAAGGGGGAGGGGGUGAAAAGGAUAAAUAGCCCCCGCCAAACUAGGU